UCUGGUUGAUCCUGCCUGAACUGAUGUGUUCAUUUCAAAGGUUAAGCCAUGCAUGUAUAAGUUUAAUCGUUUUAACGAGAAACCGCGAACGGCUCAUUACAAUGGCCAUGAUUUACUUGAUCUUGAUUAUCUAAAUGGAUAACUGUGGAAAAGCUAGAGCUAAUACAUACACCAAAGCUUUGUCCUCUCGGAAAAGCGCAUUUAUUAGAACAAAACCACGCGGCUUCGGCUGCUUCUUGUUGACUCAGAAUAACUAAGCUGACCGCAUGGCCUUGUGCCGGCGGCGUGUCUUUCAAGCGUCCACUUUAUCAACUUGACGGGAGCAUAAUCGACUCCCGUGGUGGUGACGGAUAACGGAGGAUCAGGGUUCGACUCCGGAGAAGGGGCCUGAGAAAUGGCCACUACGUCUAAGGAUGGCAGCAGGCGCGCAAAUUACCCACUCUCGGCUCGAGGAGGUAGUGACGAGAAAUAACGAGAUCGUUCUCUUUGAGGCCGGUCAUCGGAAUGGGUACAAUUUAAACCCUUUAACGAGUAUCAAGCAGAGGGCAAGUCUGGUGCCAGCAGCCGCGGUAAUUCCAGCUCUGCUAAUACAUAGAAUUAUUGCUGCGGUUAAAAAGCUCGUAGUUGGAUUCGUAUCGGUACCCUGGAACACUCCGGGUGUUUCUGGGUGUUAUCGAUUUAUCGUAAUGUUCGGUUUUGAGUCCUUAACAGGAUUCUUAACAGGCAUUGCAAGUUUACUUUGAACAAAUCAGAGUGCUUCAAACAGGCGUUUUCGCUUGAAUGAUCGUGCAUGGAAUAAUAGAAAACGAUUUCGGUUCAGUUUUAUUGGUUUUACGGACUGAGAUAAUGGUUAACAGAGACAAACGGGGGCAUUUGUAUGGCCCCGUGAGAGGUGAAAUUCUUGGACCGUGGCCAGACAAACUACAGCGAAAGCAUUUGCCAAGAAUGUCUUCAUUAAUCAAGAACGAAAGUCAGAGGUUCGAAGGCGAUCAGAUACCGCCCUAGUUCUGACCGUAAACGAUGCCAACUAGCGAUCCGCCGAUGGAAAUUAUAUUGCCUUGGUGGGGAGCUUCCCGGAAACGAAAGUCUUCCGGUUCCGGGGGAAGUAUGGUUGCAAAGCUGAAACUUAAAGGAAUUGACGGAAGGGCACCACCAGGAGUGGAGCCUGCGGCUUAAUUUGACUCAACACGGGGAAACUCACCCGGCCCGGACACUGUGAGGAUUGACAGAUUGAUAGCUUUUUCAUGAUUCAGUGGAUGGUGGUGCAUGGCCGUUCUUAGUUCGUGGAGUGA
rnacentral:rRNA from 1 species